rnacentral:misc_RNA from 1 species
GAAAUUCUAUAAGUAGUGUGAAUUGCAGAAUUCAGUGAAUCAUCGAAUCUUUGAACGCACAUUGCGCCCUUUGGUAUUCCUUAGGGCAUGCCUGUUCGAGCGUCAUCUAAACCUUCAAGCCCUGCUUGGUGUUGGGUGCCUGUCCCGCCUCCGCGCGCGGACUCACCUCAAAUCCAUUGGCGGCCCCCGCGUCGGCCACGAGCGCAGCAGAAACGCGAACUCGUGAGCCCGUCCGGGCGGCUCCCAGAAGCUACACCCACCCAGUUUGACCUCGGAUCAGGUAGGGAUACCCGCUGAACUUAAGC